UCCUUACGUCCACCCUCAGGCUCGUUAAUUCACCUGUGUGACUCAGACAGCUCAUGGUGAAAGGAAGCAGGUUAAAGUCAUUGAUGAGGCCUGGAGCAGAGUCCAGGAGAGCCCAGUCACAGAGCUCCCGUGUCCUCAGGAUGCAGCACACACAAUAGUGCUGAGCAGGCGCCUUUGGGGUCCAGGUGUGUCUGGGAGCUUGACCACAUGGCUGUCAGUGUGGCUGGCCCUAAGUCUCCAGUCCCUCACAGAGGUCAGAACUGAGGCAGCAAAGUCCCUGGAAACACUGGUACUCCAGUGACAGCCACGAUGUUCUGGGGGCUGAGAGCUCACUCUGCAGGCCACCCCCGGCCCCAGCCCCAGCGUUCUCGAAGUGGAAUAGUCACGUUUGUCUGGGCAGCUCCUUUAGCAUUGCCUGCUUCCUGCCUUGCUGCAGGGCUGCCUGUGCCUACGAUGCAUGUAAAAAGAACCGCUGCAUGCCAGCGUUAGCCCAGGGUUGGCUCCACCCAGCUCUUCCACAGAUGUCAUUAUUGUUGCUGUAUCCUGAGGAGGCUGGAACUCAGGGUUUCAAUACAUCUGCAAUCACCAUCAAUGUUAUAACCUUACCCACAGGGCCAGGUGGGCCCAUAUUGCAGUUUGCUGGAUAUCACCUAAAAAGGAAGACCAGAGUUCCACUCAGUCAUAGCAGUUUAUCUAGUCCAUCACCACGUCAGACCAGCAGAUGUCCUCCAGGGCCAGGCCACUCAGGUUUGCAGGCUGCCAUUUGACCUUGUCAAGUUCCAAAAGCAGAGGCGGCCUUGGCAUCACCCUUUCAGGCAUCUGGUGUAGUUGAGCUAAGAGAUAAUGUCCUCCACACCCCUCUUAAGGUAGUACUGUAAUGUAGGAUUCACCUAAAAUUGGAUUUCCCGGCCAGGCGCGAUGGCUCACACCUGUAAUCCCAGCACUUUGGGAGGCCAAAGUGGGCGGAUCACCUGAAGUUGGGAGUUCAAGACCAGGCUGACCAACAUGGAGAAACCCUGUCUCUACCAAAAAUACAAAAUUAGCCGGGCGUGGUGGCACAUGCCUAUAAUCCCAGCUACUCGGGAGGCUGAGGCAGGAUAAUUGCUUGAACCAGGGAGGCAGAGGUUGCGGGUGAGCCGAGAUUGUGCCAUUGCACUCCAGCCUGGGCAACAAGAGUGAAACACUCCGUCUCAAAAAAAAAAAAAAAAAGAAUUUCCCUCACCACAUAACCCAUGUAUUCGUUCCUUUACCCUCAGCUCCAGUUCCCCCUUUUCUCCAUUUGUAUUCAGGUAUUUCCACCUUUAGAAGGUCCAGGAGGUUCGGCCAUGCUGCUGGGCUAGAUUGUCAGAAGCAACGCCAGCCUAGCAAGUGCCUCCCUGACAGUCCACUCCGGUUGGUGUAGGAUGGGGUUUCACAGGUGUAGAAAGUGGGCUGUCUCCACCACCAGGCAAUAUGCCUGCCUCACGAGCCGCCCUGAUUUUUCUGGAUGGGGUGAAGGCACCAUCUGCCCCGUCAGCCCUCAGGAGCUCUGGCAUGAAGCUUUAGAGCUAGAGGUGCACCCUCCUGCCUAGGAGUCAUUGCUACUUCAGCACUUGCAGCUGCAGCCCUGGUCCUGGGGCCACUGCAGCAGAUAGGAAAGGAGGAAGGUGAGGUGAUGUGGAGAAGAAAGAAAAAAAGCAGUCUUACCACAACCUCCCUUCCCCAGUUCUCUUAGAAAAGGUAUAGGAGGCCAGGUGCAGUGGCUCACACCUGUAAUCCCAACACUUUGGGAGGCCAUGGCAGGUGGAUCACUUGAGGUCAGGAGUUCGAGACCAGCCUGGCCAAUAUGGUGAAACCCCGUCUCUAUUAAAAUACAAAAAAAAAAAAAAAAAAAAAAAAA
rnacentral:lncRNA from 1 species